AGGGCGUUGAGUAUUUGGUCGUAGACCCGAAACCAGGUGAUCUACCCUUGGUCAGGUUGAAGUUCAGGUAACACUGAAUGGAGGACCGAACCGACUUACGUUGAAAAGUGAGCGGAUGAACUGAGGGUAGCGGAGAAAUUCCAAUCGAACUUGGAGAUAGCUGGUUCUCUCCGAAAUAGCUUUAGGGCUAGCCUCAAGUGAUGAUUAUUGGAGGUAGAGCACUGUUUGGACGAGGGGCCCCUCUCGGGUUACCGAAUUCAGACAAACUCCGAAUGCCAAUCAAUUUAACUUGGGAGUCAGAACAUGGGUGAUAAGGUCCGUGUUCGAAAGGGAAACAGCCCAGACCACCAGCUAAGGUCCCAAAAUAUAUGUUAAGUGGAAAAGGAUGUGGCGUUGCCCAGACAACUAGGAUGUUGGCUUAGAAGCAGCCAUCAUUUAAAGAGUGCGUAAUAGCUCACUAGUCGAGUGACACUGCGCCGAAAAUGUACCGGGGCUAAACAUAUUACCGAAGCUGUGGAUUGUCCUUCGGACAAUGGUAGGAGAGCGUUCUAAGGGCGUUGAAGCAUGAUCGCAAGGACAUGUGGAGCGCUUAGAAGUGAGAAUGCCGGUGUGAGUAGCGAAAGACGGGUGAGAAUCCCGUCCACCGAUUGACUAAGGUUUCCAGAGGAAGGCUCGUCCGCUCUGGGUUAGUCGGGUCCUAAGCUGAGGCCGACAGGCGUAGGCGAUGGAUAACAGGUUGAUAUUCCUGUACCACCUAGUAUCGUUUUAAUCGAUGGGGGGACGCAGUAGGAUAGGCGAAGCGUGCUGUUGGAGUGCACGUCCAAG
rnacentral:rRNA from 1 species